rnacentral:rRNA from 1 species
ACUGGGGCGUAAAGCGCACGCAGGCGGUCUGUCAAGUCGGAUGUGAAAUCCCCGGGCUCCACCUGGGAACUGCAUUCGAAACUGGCAGGCUAGAGUCUUGUAGAGGGGGGUAGAAUUCCAGGUGUAGCGGUGAAAUGCGUAGAGAUCUGGAGGAAUACCGGUGGCGAAGGCGGCCCCCUGGACAAAGACUGACGCUCAGGUGCGAAAGCGUGGGGAGCAAACAGGAUUAGAUACCCUGGUAGUCCACGCCGUAAACGAUGUCGACUUGGAGGUUGUGCCCUUGAGGCGUGGCUUCCGGAGCUAACGCGUUAAGUCGACCGCCUGGGGAGUACGGCCGCAAGGUUAAAACUCAAAUGAAUUGACGGGGGCCCGCACAAGCGGUGGAGCAUGUGGUUUAAUUCGAUGCAACGCGAAGUAUCUUACCUACUCUUGACAUCCAGAGAACUUUCCAGAGAUGGAUUGGUGCCUUCGGGAACUCUGAGACAGGUGCUGCAUGGCUGUCGUCAGCUCGUGUUGUGAAAUGUUGGGUUAAGUCCCGCAACGAGCGCAACCCUU